AAACUUGGACACACGAGAUUUUUUUUCUUCAAAAACAAUUAUUUAUUUCAAGUAUAGAGCAAUUUUAUGUAUAGACAGGUCUUGGAAAAUUUAUACAACACGCUUUUUUAUGUAGGUUAAUAAACGUAGCAGGUAAGCACUAAACAAAACAACAAAAAAGCGCAAUAAACAAAGUGUAUUACACUCAACAGAACAACACAUGCCUAAUUUGUACUCAUUAAUGCCCCGAGAAGCCGUUAGUAAUGACAGCUCCGCAAACAAAAACACACACAUAAUCAUAGGGUCCUCUCUGGCCUUUCGCAUUGUCCUCUAAACGUAAGCUGUGUGAUAUGAAUUAAAUGGCCCACUGACGGACGCUAUUUCGAAGCAGUGGUCACUUACACAUUAAGCAUUUAUUCCGGAAAGGAUGCUUGCCGAUAGUACCAACUUUGUUUCUGUGUAGAAGCAGUUGCAACACAGAAAAGCUUCGCGUUAUGUGUGCUGUUGGCCCCAGACAUUUACAAGAUGUGAAAUUUCCGGUUCGGUUAAUGUAACCCGGCUGCACGCGAGGAAAAAAAAAAAGCCUCGUAACCUUUUUUCAAAACACGAGCUUGUAUACGCUUUUCCUUGUCAUUACGGGAAUAAAUGCGUCGUUGUGGGCAUACUGUUCAUGUGUUGCUCCUGUGCAUGGUAAGGUUACUCCAUGGAACCACGAUAGCUGCAUGCGAUACCAUUGUGCGCGAUAACCUCGGUAACCUAGGUGGCAAACUUGCACACUGUCCACUACUAGGUGCCGGGUCAUUCGCAAGCGUCCUACCGGUGACGCCAUGCUGUCAUUUCAUCGAGUACCGUAUGUAAGUACGCCCCAUUUUCACGUCCAAUAAAGCACGUGUGCCGACUCUCACGAUGCAAUGGAGGCAACAGACAGCGCGCAUCAAAUCCUAUUUUUCUAUUGCAGUACACCUUGUCGAACCCUGUGGCGAGGAAACGCACCGAUUUCCGUUUUGAACAGCUGCCAUCGUUCGUCAGUAUAUACGGGAUCGCAUACACGAUACACAACAACCGCCACCGGCAAAAAUACAAGUCAACGUACAGGAUGGCUGUACGACGACAGUCAUUACAGAAUUUUAGCCUCACCAGAGUACACGGAACACCGUAGAAGGCGAGUUGGUACCAGCACCAGCGCUGGGAAGCGCCAUCUUAUGGCGGUUUUUUACAGCCACAAUGCCUUAGAAACGUUUUUGUCUUGCAUUAUCGUUCUAACAGAAGGGAGAAAGAGAAAGUUUCACAAACCCUAAUGGUUGUUACUGCCGGCGCAUUUGCAGCAUGCAGCUGACAGGACAUGGUAACCGCAAUUAUAGUUCUAUGUGCUCCAGUUGACGCCAGCGUUACAAGAUGGUGCCACCAACAAUGCCGAGCACGUCUGCCUUUCCGGAUCACAACGCAAAAACACCCACACAACGCAAGAGCAUUUCUAACGCAUUGUGGUUGGACAAACCGCCACAAGGUGUUGCUAGCAGCGCUAAAACUAGUAUCGCCGUUUACGGAAUACCUCCACGUUGGGGACGGUGGUAGGUGGCGUAUCGACACCUUAUGGUGCUUUGUUGAACUACAAUGCGUUACAUAUGUUUUCGUUUUGCAUUACAGUUCUCGUCAAAAGAGCCACUGCCCUGAAAAAGUGACGGGUAAUUGCUCAGACGUUCUGUACAUCUUGCAAUUAACCGCAGCUGGCAUGUGCCUGCGGCUCGAAUAAAUUGUUAAUUUGAGCCGAGAGUGUUCGUUGAGUAAUAAAUCGGGCCUUGAUACUAAGGAAGAGAGAGGGAGAGAAACGUGGCUAGUUAAAACGCAAGAAGUCGGUUUUUCAUGCCAAAUGUAACUUUUCUUGCAUGUAGCCGUAACGCACACAGCGGACAGGAAGAAAAAAAAAAAAAACACGUAUAAGCCGGGUGGUCACAUUACACUCGGAGAGACACCAUAUUGGAAAUGAAAAAAAAAAUAAAACGCUGCCCUAGCCGAUAUAAUUAAAUCCUUCACGGUCUCGUUGCCAUGAAGAAAAUGACGGUGGAAAGUCGGACGAUAUAUACAUUUUCGAUAGACUCUGCGUGUACAGUUCUGUGAGACUAUGCCUUCUUUUUUUGCGUCUCUCGAUUCUGUGCCAGCUGCAAGAAUUCACGCAUGAGGCAUCGCGAAGCAAAUUAGUUCUCCGUUAGCGGCCAGCGCUCGCUCCCCAUCCGGCCGUGGCUAAUAACGCCAUUAAGUCUGGACAGCGCUGGAGCGCCGUGCGCGUGCA
rnacentral:lncRNA from 1 species